UCAUCAAUGAAGUAUCGCGAGAGAAGGAGAAGCUGUUACUCUCCCGCCUAAUUCAGGUUUACCAACAAGCCGGUUCUGAGACGCCAUCCCGUGGGGUGCUGUUGCUCUUCUUGUCGCGAUUGUCCCUCCUUCUUCCCGGAAUUUGGAAUCGAGUGAGUUUUCUGACCUAUUUCAGCACCGGACCCAAGGGUACUUGGAGAGGGAACUGGUCUCGGAGGAGGUGGACUGACCAUAGAAAUGAGUCCUGCGGAUGCCCUCGAUGAUGAAAACACAUUUAAAAUCUUGGUUGCAACGGAUAUUCAUCUGGGAUUUAUGGAAAAAGAUGCCGUGAGAGGAAAUGAUACAUUUGUAACAUUUGAUGAAAUUUUAAGACUUGCCCAGGAAAAUGAUGUGAGUUUGGUUUGCAUUUUUGCAAUU